rnacentral:rRNA from 1 species
UACGAAGGGGGCUAGCGUUGCUCGGAAUCACUGGGCGUAAAGGGUGCGUAGGCGGGUCUUAAGUCAGGGGUGAAAUCCUGGAGCUCAACUCCAGAACUGCCUUUGAUACUGAGGAUCUUGAGUUCGGGAGAGGUGAGUGGAACUGCGAGUGUAGAGGUGAAAUUCGUAGAUAUUCGCAAGAACACCAGUGGCGAAGGCGGCUCACUG